UCGCGGCCUAUCAGCUUGUUGGUGGGGUAAUGGCCUACCAAGGCGUCGACGGGUAGCCGGCCUGAGAGGGUGUACGGCCACAUUGGGACUGAGAUACGGCCCAGACUCCUACGGGAGGCAGCAGUGGGGAAUAUUGCACAAUGGGCGCAAGCCUGAUGCAGCGACGCCGCGUGGGGGGUGACGGCCUUCGGGUUGUAAACUCCUUUCGCUAGGGACGAAGCGUUUUUGUGACGGUACCUGGAGAAGAAGCACCGGCUAACUACGUGCCAGCAGCCGCGGUAAUACGUAGGGUGCGAGCGUUGUCCGGAAUUACUGGGCGUAAAGAGCUCGUAGGUGGUUUGUCGCGUCGUUUGUGUAAGCCCGCAGCUUAACUGCGGGACUGCAGGCGAUACGGGCAUAACUUGAGUGCUGUAGGGGAGACUGGAAUUCCUGGUGUAGCGGUGGAAUGCGCAGAUAUCAGGAGGAACACCGAUGGCGAAGGCAGGUCUCUGGGCAGUAACUGACGCUGAGGAGCGAAAGCAUGGGUAGCGAACAGGAUUAGAUACCCUGGUAGUCCAUGCCGUAAACGGUGGGCGCUAGGUGUGAGUCCCUUCCACGGGGUUCGUGCCGUAGCUAACGCAUUAAGCGCCCCGCCUGGGGAGUACGGCCGCAAGGCUAAAACUCAAAGGAAUUGACGGGGGCCCGCACAAGCGGCGGAGCAUGUGGAUUAAUUCGAUGCAACGCGAAGAACCUUACCUGGGCUUGACAUACACCAGAUCGCCGUAGAGAUACGGUUUCCCUUUGUGGUUGGUGUACAGGUGGUGCAUGGUUGUCGUCAGCUCGUGUCGUGAGAUGUUGGGUUAAGUCCCGCAACGAGCGCAACCCUUGUCUUAUGUUGCCAGCAAUUCGGUUGGGGACUCGUGAGAGACUGCCGGGGUAACUCGGAGGAAGGUGGGGAUGACGUCAAAUCAUCAUGCCCCUUAUGUCCAGGGCUUCACACAUGCUACAAUGGUCGGUACAACGCGUCCCGCGAGCCUGUGAGGGUGAGCUAAUCGCUGUAAAGCCGGUCGUAGUUCGGAUUGGGGUCUGCAACUCGACCCCAUGAAGUCGGAGUCGCUAGUAAUCGCAGAUCAGCAACGCUGCGGUGAAUACGUUCCCGGGCCUUGUACACACCGCCCGUCACGUCAUGAAAGUUGGUAACACCCGAAGCCAGUGGCCUGUCAUGGGAGCUGUCGAAGGUGGGGCUGGA
rnacentral:rRNA from 1 species